rnacentral:lncRNA from 1 species
UAAAAAUGGCUUAAAAGAGGUAAAGAGAAAUAAGAGAACCGAAAUUAAGCAAAAUGAAUGCAGACGCAAUGAAUAAUUGAGCAUGUAAAAAUGGCUUAAAAGAGUUUUUGACACUACUUGAGAAGCAAAAUAUGGAAGGACCAAGGCCGACCAAGCUUCAGGCCAACCUUCACUAUAUAUGCAUUAGCACGUCCAUUUUCUGUUGUACCGACCAAGACAUGAUGGACACCCUUUUGCCUUACACUUCCAACUUCAAAGGUAGAAGCUGUGAAGCCCUCUUCUGAUAGAAUAUCAAGGUAAAGAGAAAUAAGAUACUUGAUCAAAUUGGCAUAUAAUUCAGGUACAAUAAUACCUAAUCACGACUACACGCCCCAAGAAAAUUAAAACACAUAGGAGAUUGGUACAAUGGAACAAAAAAAGUUCUUCCUCCUGCCGAAUAGUUCCAUAGUACUUCACACCUAUUCUAGCCAAAUGUUGAAAUGAGAAAACUCUUGUAGAUGCUCAUGAAUUUGGCCACAAAUGCUGCAAA